UACAGAGGGUGCGAGUGUUGUCCGGAAUUACUGGGCGUAAAGAGCUCGUAGGUGGUUUGUCGCGUUGUCCGUGAAAACUCACAGCUUAACUGUGGGCGUGCGGGCGAUACGGGCAGACUGGAGUACUGCAGGGGAGACUGGAAUUCCUGGUGUAGCGGUGGAAUGCGCAGAUAUCAGGAGGAACACCGGUGGCGAAGGCGGGUCUCUGGGCAGUAACUGACGCUGGAGGAGCGAAAGCCGUGGGGAGCGAACAGG
rnacentral:rRNA from 1 species